rnacentral:rRNA from 1 species
UGGGGAAUAUUGCACAAUGGGCGCAAGCCUGAUGCAGCCAUGCCGCGUGUGUGAAGAAGGCCUUCGGGUUGUAAAGCACUUUCAGCGGGGAGGAAGGCGUUAAGGUUAAUAACCUUGGCGAUUGACGUUACCCGCAGAAGAAGCACCGGCUAACUCCGUGCCAGCAGCCGCGGUAAUACGGAGGGUGCAAGCGUUAAUCGGAAUUACUGGGCGUAAAGCGCACGCAGGCGGUCUGUCAAGUCGGAUGUGAAAUCCCCGGGCGCAACCUGGGAACUGCAUUCGAAACUGGCAGGCUAGAGUCUUGUAGAGGGGGGGAGAAUUCCGGGUGUAGCGAGGAAAUGCGUAGAGAUCUGGAGGAAUACCGGUGGCGAAGGCGGCCCCCUGGACAAAGACAGACGCUCAGGUGGGAAAGCGUGGGGAGCAAACAGG